UUGGGCUAGAUCCGCCUUCUGAGUUAAACAUCAGCCCAGGCAUGGGACGCCCAUAACUAACAAUGGGUAGAGAUGACCAGGCGACUUAGUUUAUAUACAAUUCCUCCCCAGCUGGGCUUUGCACAGUAUGAUAUUUCCUCCAAGGGCGUCAUGAGCCUGGGUCAGAUCUCCAACCUGGUGUCACUAACUGGUUACCAGCCCAUACCGUUGGAAAGGAGCUGCUUCUUUUAUCCUGUUUGAGUUCCAGACUGUGUUAAAAACGUUUGCUUUUGCCAGAAAUGACCUAGUUGAUUUCACUCCAGGUAUGUGGGAGCCGGAUGUCUUCUGUGGUGGUUUUGCUUCAGCUGCAUACUGAAGCUCCCAGGCAGUGGUGCAGCAGGUCCUAUAAAAUAGGUGAGGAGGGACAGAUAAAAUAUUGUAAUAUCAGGAAGCAUGAGAUGGUGUGAGAUUAUAUUGAAGAACUAAAGGAAGAAAGACAUUCUCUCUCCAAAAUUGACAAUAACAUAAACAAGGACAAGCACUGUGUCAUCCCUUGAAAAACUUGUGACCGAUAGAGAAAAGAAUGGCCAUCGGUCACUUCUAGACUGAUCAGGAGAAAACAUAUUUUUCGAAACUCGCAAGCAAAACUGGAUGACAGACUCUGUACUUUGUAGGAUCAAAAAGAAGUGGAACAGCUUAUAAAGCGCAAAGAAAGAUAUAAUUUCCAUGUCGUAGUCACUACCUACGGUGUUCCUGCGGCUUCACCUCUGAUAAUCGACUGCGUGUCCUCUACCGUUUUCUGUGUGUCAAGAACAGUGCUAAAAAUUUACAAUCUUACACUACACAGUAUUAGAAAGAAAAAAGAUUCCUUUGAAAUGAAGAAAGGAAAGAAGGUAUUUAGAUAGACUCAGACUGCCAAAAUAUACCAGCCCUGUUUCUCAUCUUCUCUUCCACUUACAUGAAAGAAGAGCAUCACCAGCUUCUCACAGAGCGCAUUGUUUAGGACAAUGAGAUAAUAAGGCCAUCUGCUUGCAAAUAACUAAGAGGGAGUAGGCACCUGUUUCCUCUUUUAGGCUAAUGUUUAUGGAAAUAAUAAUGUACGGAUACCUAUUACACAUUUUCAUCUUUAUUUAUACUUUAUCUCUCACCCCAGAGAAACAAGC